AUACGGAGGAUCCGAGCGUUAUCCGGAUUUAUUGGGUUUAAAGGGUGCGCAGGCGGCCAUUUAAGUCAGCGGUUAAAUCGUGGGGCUCAACCCCAUUCUGCCGUUGAUACUGGGUGGCUUGAUUGCGGUCGAGGUUGGCGGAAUUCGUUGUGUAGCGGUGAAAUGCAUAGAUAUGACGAAGAACACCGAUUGCGUAGGCAGCUGACCAGACCGCAAAUGACGCUCAUGCACGAAAGUGCGGGGAUCGAACAGGAUUAGAUACCCUGGUAGUCCGCACAGUAAACGAUGAAUACUUGUUUUCGGCGAUAUAAUGUCGGAGGCAAAGCGAAAGCGAUAAGUAUUCCACCUGGGGAGUUCGCCGGCAACGGUGAAACUCAAAGGAAUUGACGGGG
rnacentral:rRNA from 1 species